UACGAAGGGGGCUAGCGUUGCUCGGAAUCACUGGGCGUAAAGGGUGCGUAGGCGGGUCUUUAAGUCAGGGGUGAAAUCCUGGAGCUCAACUCCAGAACUGCCUUUGAUACUGAGGAUCUUGAGUUCGGGAGAGGUGAGUGGAACUGCGAGUGUAGAGGUGAAAUUCGUAGUUAUUCGCAAGAACACCAGUGGCGAAGGCGGCUCACUGGCCCGAUACUGACGCUGAGGCACGAAAGCUAGGGGAGCAAACGGG
rnacentral:rRNA from 1 species